UGAUAGUAGGAAAACUGAGGUGUGAAGCAC
rnacentral:piRNA from 1 species